UUUUUUCAUGAUUAAACUCGAU
rnacentral:snRNA from 1 species